rnacentral:rRNA from 1 species
CAGAACGUCGUGAGACAGUUCGGUCCCUAUCCGGCGUGGGCGUAGGAUAUUUGAGAGGAGCUGUCCUUAGUACGAGAGGACCGGGAUGGACCGGCCGCUGGUGUACCUGUUGCACUACCAAGUGCAUGGCAGGGUAGCCAAGCCGGGAAGGGAUAAACGCUGAAGGCAUCUAAGCGUGAAGCCCCCCUCAAGAUGAGAUAUCCCAU